rnacentral:tRNA from 3 species
GGAAGGUGGCGCCCAGUGGUGGGCAAUCCGGUUUGAACCCGGAGCUAUCGGAAACGGUAAGAGUUCGACUCUUUCACCUUCCGCCA